rnacentral:lncRNA from 1 species
CUUUAGGAUGUAAGGUUUGGAUAGGUUUCCUUCUUUCUUGAUGUGAACAAAAGAUGAGACCGAUCUCCUCUCGGGUGAGCGACCUAGAACUGUUUUAGGAUUUUUGGGUGAGGAAAAAACAAAAGAGAAGAGAGUCUUCAUCUAUUUUUCUCCAUCAUCCAGCAUCCUCCUCUAAUCCAUCUUCAACAUUGAAAAGGUUCGAGGUGAUCAAAGAAGA